CCCUCACCAUCCCCUCACGGCCAUCUCCCCGGGGGUCCCGGGGGCUCCCCCGCCUCGCGGCGGCCCCCGGCGGCAGCUGCCCCGGCCCCGGUGCCUGCGCGGGGCUGAGCCCUCGGCCCCGCGGCCUCCGCGGCUGCUCCCGCCCGGGCCAUUGUGUACAAAGGCGUUCGCCCCUCAGCCUUCGGGGCCCGGGAGGACAGAGCGAGGGGUGCGAGCCGCGUUCCUCCCGGCGUGAAGUGUGUGGUUCGUGGAGGGGAGAGAACAGGCGACCGGGUCAUCACGCGAGGCGCAGGCACUUUGUGCAUCGUGCUGUACAAAAAUGGCUCGGUGCCAUUUUCCAGAGGCCCCAGAUGGAGCCUUUGGAGGGGUCUGUGCCUCGCCCGCCGGCUGCCAGUGUGAAAGAGGAGCUGCCACAGCGGAUCUUGGCUGCAGGACAGACAGUUCACAACAAACUGCCACUGCCUGUACAAUGGUGGGACUAGGGGCAGCUGGAGUUUUGAAUGUCCUGAAAGAUUCCUGGCUUGCCAGUGUUCCCAGAGUCUUCCACUGCUCCCACCCGAAUGGAGCAUCCUCUUUCUUCAGUGCCCAAAGCGGAUGCCAGCCCAUAGCCUCCUCCCCAGUGUCCCUUGCUGUUCUUUCACGGGUAGAGCUGUAACAGCUGACAGUGACAUAAUAUCAUUGCAGCUACAAACAGCUACUGGAGGUCAAGGAGCUUCUCUCCUGCUCUUCUCAUCAACCACCCUGCCCUCCAUCUCUCCUUAUUUUGCUCAGUAUCAGCACAUCAUCACAAUGCCUUUGUCAUACAAAAUAGCAGGAAGAAGAUGGUUUAAAGGAAGAAUGAAAAACGGGGUGGGGGGACAGCCUAUGAUGUGUGGCUGGUCUGAGAAGCAUCCCUUCGAAAAGUGUUUCAGGCAUUAUAAUUGUGCUCUCAUCUCUCUAAACGGCCAGACUUGGUCUGUGUUUUAACGCAGCCAAACUCGGUGUCUCCCAAGACACCUCUCAUUACCUGUCAGUGCAGCACACGGUCAAAUGCAGCCUUGUCCUGACUGUGCUCCCUGAGUGCUAAUUACACCCUGAAUACCGUUCAGUGGGGCAGUUUUGCUUAACAAAGACUCCCUGCUGGGUAAGUACCCUAUAGUCCCUGAUUGCCCUUAACCCAAGGAUAUGGAUACAGUCCUUACUAGGCCAUCUGCCGUGGUUCCUCUUUCACAGCUGACACGCUCUGCUUUCCUUGUGUUCUCACCCACACACAUCAUCUCCCUCCCACCUCCUCCUCUGCGUUCACAUCACAGUGGAGCUCUGCUCCCUUUUGCCUUGCCGGUGGUGCUACCCACACAAAAACCCUUCCCAUGUGCUCUGCAGAGCACUCAACAGAACUGGUCCUCCAGUCCUUGACUCUUCCCACUCUCUUUUACUGUCACACACACAAGUUUUAUAUAAAUACCCCCCCCAAUAUUUCUGUUGAUAUGAGCAACAAAGGCCCCUGUGAAAUUUAAAGAACCCACAACAUUGUCUCCUGGGACUGAUGGAAGGUUACAAGGUGUACGGAGCUGGGGGUUGGAACAAGAUGAUCUUUAAGGUCGCUUCCAACUCAAACCGUUCUGUGAUUCUAUGAUUCUCCAAGGGCAGAUAGAAGGAACCAUCUGGGAGAGCAGUGUAGGUAACUUUCUAUGCUCUUCUACUAUCAUUGCUCACUUUGUCUGGUUUGAAGGGAAUCUCCGUAUUUUGUGCUUUUGAAGAAAGCCUUCGAAACACCAGUGGUGAGAAUUUCUGGAGUGGGAGCUGCCUGAAUUUGCAAAGGGCCUGAACAAUUUGUCCAUGGAACAGGAGACUGCUGUUGAUCAUUUUUAUUGUUGACAUUGACUGGCUCACCUCCCACCAAAACACAGAUUUAUCAUAUUGCACACCUGCUGGGUCUACAAAGAACACCCAUUUUUAAAGCACACAGUGUGUCACGACUGUCUAGAAGUUGCUACAGAAGCCUGAGAAACUGCACUACAUGAACUACCUCACUGAAACAAGCCUUGGCUUAGAUUUUAUUCCCUUUGCCUGCUUUGUGAUUUAUUUAUUUAUAUGUAGUAUGAUAAAAAGCACCUUUUCAGAGCUCCUCUGUCUUUGUGAUUAAUGUAAACAGUUCAUAUUCUUACAUUUUUGUACUCUUACUUCAGUUUGACACUCUGACUCUGUAAUCAAUUUUAGCAACCUCAAGAGACUAUUUGCAGAAGAUAUUUCUGAGUGAUUGAGAAUAUAAACACUUAACUUGUUUAUGCAGCAGAGAUGAUGGAGAAGGAAAUAUUGCCUGGGAGGGGGCAGAGCUGUGUGGGAAGGGUUGUGGCUGGUGAUAAUCCUCUUAAACUUUGAUAAGUGUUUUCACUUUGGGACAGCUAUCUUAAUUCUGAAUGCGUCACCCCAUUUGUCACUGGUGUGUUUAUUUGUUGUUGUGUGUUUAUUGGAUACUGAGAAUGCAUGUCCUUGGUUACUGCAGCCUUCUGAAAUAUCCCUGUAGGACGUCUUGUGCCCUGCCAGCAGAUCCCUGCUCUUUUCCUUCCACCUUUACCUGAUCAAAAGAAGCACAGAUUCCUCAGACAUGGAGUUAUUUCUCUGAAGGGUCUAUCUGAGCCUCCUUCAGCUGCUCAGCCUCCUCUCUCUUUGCAGCCUAUAUGACCAAUCCAUGCUUCUGAACUCCCUGCCCUCAGGGUACAGUCACACACACAUACCUGUGCUGUGGGUCAUGCUGUUGGCAUUCUUGCCUUCCCCCUCAGAUGGGCAGUGACCUCCUACCAAAUGCACUCAGAGCUCAUCUCACUUUUAAUGCAACCCACAGCCCUGGUAGAGUAUUAGCUGAGUAGUCCCAGCAGAGUAUUAGCUGUGAUUCCAGAGGGCUGACCUGCCCCUCAGGGAUUGCUAUAAUCCACUGUCACCGUUCCCAUGUGAGAGAUGACUCACUGCAGCACUGAGGGGGGUUUGGACCAGGUCUGUGCUUUUACUUGCUCUGGUUUCCAGCCACUAGAAGGAUACUCAGCUUCCCUGUAAUUCAAAAUUAGCCCAUCAAGAUCAGAAACUUCUGAGAUUGACCACAAACUGCUGCUGGAACCUGGAACCACGGUGUGUUUGAUACCUGUUUCGUGCAUUGAUCUUACUGAUCCCCCUUUAUCUCCUUAACCACCAGAGACCUACAGUUUGUUUUCAGCACGAUUCAAAACCUGACUUGGUUGAACCGAGCUGCUGUUUUACACUCAGCCUUUAUCUCCCACAGGUGAACAGGAUUCAUUCCAUUUUCAGUCACUCUUUGCUUUGACAUCCAAGUCAUGAUAACUGGGAUAUUCCCCCUCUUUUGAACAUUUCUUCCUGCCUUGACAUUCCCAAGGCACUGGUGACUCCAUAUUCAUUGCCAGGCAUGUUGUUCUGUAGCAGAGCUACCAACUGGUGCUAAUAUGUUAUAGCGAGAUUAAUUCUUCCAGGGCACAAGAAGUGGAUGUCUGGGAUUCAGUUCCCAGGCUGGUAGACAGAGAUAAUUUAGUACCAAGAAUUUACUUUGUUCUAAAUCUUUCUAGUCAGGCGACCUCUUAUUUUCUUCCUCAAAAUUAUAUUUGUGCCAACCAACUUUUUCAAACAUGUGUGCCAUUUUAGUCACUGCUUUCUUCUAGAGAAAUGCCAACUAUGGAAAUUUUUAUCAGUACUUAUACCCCCUAUCAGAAAAUGUUCAAUUGCUUUGAAAAUAUUUUAAAUAAAGUGUCACUUUUUUUAAAAAAAAAGGCAACCUUUUUAUUUUAAAACUGGAAAACAAGAGCCACUAUGAUAACUGCACCUUUUUAACCAAGUUGUGACAUCAUUUAUACAUUCAUAAUGGAUGCUGUGACAAAAGAAAAAAGCCAAAGUCUGCAAAAUCAUUAUUAAUCUGUAGAUAAGGGAUAAUAUUAACCUCCAAUACAAUGCAUUUCAAAACUUGCUUCUUCUAAAUAAAAUCUAAGUGCUGUUUUGAUUUAUGAAACCAGUAGCCCAACAGCAGUAUGACACAGUGACAUCAGGAAACAUAACUGCUUGUUUCCCAGCAAUAUGGAAGAAACGUGAUAUAAAAUAGGCCUGGACACACCCUGGAGCACCAGGGAACAGGCAGACCUGUGUGGCCACAGCUGCUCCCAGCACAACCUGCUUCCAGGUUGUCCAUUAAGCAAAUCAGGCCAUUCCUUUUGGAUAUUCCAAAUGCUGCAUUUUUAAUGUCAAAGUGGCUGGGGAAAGUUCUGCGUUACAGCACAAAGAAAAUAUUAAAUCCAAGGGCUAUGAUUUAUAUUAUUAAGUCCAGGAAUUCAAAAUUACAUCCCGUGCUGAUCAGUUCAAUGGCUCCUGGUAGCUGGGGUAAAGCUUGGCAGAUAGUCAUGUAGUAAUAACUUACAUUUCUUAUAUUUAGUUAUUAAAUCCCGUUGCUCCCCAACAUUAAUUUUCCAUGUAAGCAAUAGCUGUAGUUGCCAGAGGGAUUUUAUGUAAUUGCAGAUGGUAGGAGACAUAGUUGGUAAUUGCAGAAAUGCAGAGGGAGAUGUCCAGGAGAUGAUCUUCUAUUAAGAUGUGGCCGUUGCUAUGGAAUACUUUCCUAACUGCUGUUCUGCAUGGGAGUGCUAUGAUGCAUCAUUUCAUAUAAGAGGUUAUUUUUAAAGCAGACCCAUUUCUUUGCCUGCAAAAGCAAAAUCAGAUCACCUCUCUGGGGAAUAUUAAUUAAAAAAGCUUCUGUGCUGGACAGCAGACAUUAUAUAGAUUAUGGUUCAUGAAGGAGUCAAGAGAAUUAGAGUCCACCACAAUACCAGGCAGCAAUGAAAUCCGAGGCUCCAUCUAAUGAGACAAACCCUUCUCUUCAAAUUAAACAAAACUUCUCUGGCAGAUAUGAAGAUCAUGGGCUGUCAUAGCAAACAAAAGCUUCCUGGGGGGUCAUGUCCUCAGUGUAACCUGAGCUUCAUAAAUUCAUUCCUAUCAGAGACAGCCCAGCAUUCCUUCUGUUCGUUUGGAGGUGUGUGGAGAAAGGAUAGAAUGAGGAAGUGAUGGUGCUGCAUGUUUGUGAUGGACACAGAAGUGUGUUCAUGUCACAAGUGGUGCCAGCUGACGUGGGCAGCCUGGGGUGUGCUGAAGCACCUGAGGAGUUCUGGGAAUGCAGUAGCUGCCCAAUUGCUUUGUAAGAACAGUUUCCAUCUCCAUCCCUCUUUGGGAACUGUGGAAUCAUGGGAUAGUUUGGGUUGGAAGCGACCUUAAAGCUUGUCUUGCUCCAACACCUUCCACUAGCCCAGGUCUCAUCCAGGCUAGAUGAACACUUCCAGGGAUGGGGCAUCCACAGCUUCUCCAAGCAACCUGUGCCAAAGCCUCCCCACCCUCAUAGGGAAGAAUUUCCUCCUAAAAUCCAUUCUUAAUGUCCCCUCUUUCAGUUUAAAACCAUUCUCCCUUGUCCUAUCACUAUCUGCCCAUGUAACAAGUUUCUCUCCAUCUUUUUAUAAGCUCCCUUUAAGUACUGAGAGUCCACAAUAAGGUCUCCCUGGAGCCUUCUCCAGGUUGAACACCCCCAGCUCUCUCAGCCUGUCUCCAUAGCAGAGGUGCUCCAGCCCCCUGAGCAUCCUCAUGGUCUCCUCUGGAAAGGUUAAGAAAACAGUGAUAAAUUAUAAAUUCAGUAAUGCUGGCUCAACAACUGCCAUGUCACUGCUGGUGCUCUGGAAUUCAAUGGAAACACUGAAUUCAGUAAUAGACAGUUCUGGUGCAUGAUUUGCUCAUCUUAAAAAUCUACAUGUCAGGAAGUGCCCGUGCGGUGACCAGAGCAUGUGAAGUUUUUCCCAUGACAUGGGCAGGAAAACUUUAAAAUAAGGAAAAAACAAAGCAACAUCUCCCUCUAUGGGAAUCACCUGGACUGCACUGCUCUUACUAAUUCCUCUGAUGACAUUUUUGUCUGUAAAAAAAUGGCUUAUUGAAAGCACUGGGGUGAAUAUCAGUGAGAAAUGGGCCAGGAUAUUUGUUUGGAAGUGCUUAGAGGGUUAUUCUGAAGCUUGUGGAUUAACCAGGCAAGCAGAAUUAGUCUCAAGUGUCAGUUGACCUGUCCCACAAAUUGAGCCAUGGAAAGUAAAGCAUUCUCUGGGUAUCAGUUGUGGUGAAUACUUUCCAAAGACUUCAUGUAAUAGAAAUAUGGUCACAAUAACUGUAUAUUGGGUAAUAAAUGAAUAUGAAAUAUGAAUAUGAAGCAAAAUGAAAACCUACGUCUUUCUAUGUACUCUUUUGGAAAGAAAAUAGUGUUUGAUGACUUC